UUGCUAGGUAGCAGAUUGCCUGAUAGCUGGGUGACAGACAGGCAUGUAGACAGAUAGCCAGUCAGAGACAGACAGACAAACAUAGUCAGACAGACUGUAAAAGUAUCCGUUGGGGUAAAUCAUGCUGUGUUUAUUGUACGGAGAGAGAAACUCUUCAGAAAUAACACCAAUACAAGAUAUCAGGUGUUUAAAUAUGGACAUAUUGGUCCCAUAGCAUUCACCAGCAACAUGAACAUGUUCAGGACAAUCAGGAAGGUAGAGGACAUGAGCAUGUUCAGGACAAUCAGGAAAAUAAAGGACAUGAGCAUGUUCAGGACAAUCAGGAAGGUAGAGGACAUGAGCAUGUUCAGGACAAUCAGGAAGGUAGAGGACAUGAGCAUGUUCAGGACAAUCAGGAAGGUAGAGGACAUGAGCAUGUUCAGGACAAUCAGGAAGAUAGGACAUGUUCAGGACAAUCAGGAAGGUAGAGGACAUGAGCAUGUUCAGGACAAUCAGGAAGGUAGAGGACAUGAGCAUGUUCAGGACAAUCAGGAAGAUAGGACAUGUUCAGGACAAUCAGGAAGGUAGAGGACAUGAACAUGUUCAGGACAAUCAGGAAGGUAGAGGACAUGUUCAGGACAAUCAGGAAGGUAGAGGACAUGUUCAGGACAAUCAGGAAGGUAGAGGAGAUGUUCAGGACAAUCAGGAAGGUAGAGGAGAUGUUCAGGACAAUCAGGAAGGGAGAGGACAUGUUCAGGACAAUCAGGAAGGUAGAGGACAUGAACAUGUUCAGGACAAUCAGGAAGGUAGAGGACAUGAACAUGUUCAGGACAAUGAGGAAGGUUGAGGACAUGUUCAGGACAAUCAGGAAGGGAGAGGACAUGUUCAGGACAAUCAGGAAGGUAGAGGAGAUGUUCAGGACAAUCAGGAAGGUAGAGGACAUGAACAUGUUCAGGACAAUCAGGAAGGUAGAGGACAUGUUCAGGACAAUCAGGAAGGUAGAGGAGAUGUUCAGGACAAUCAGGAAGGUAGAGGACAUGAACAUGUUCAGGACAAUCAGGAAGGUAGAGGACAUGAACAUGUUCAGGCCAAUCAGGAAGAUAGAGGACAUGAACAUGUUCAGGACAAUCAGGAAGGUUGAGGACAUGUUCAGGACAAUCAGGAAGGUAGAGGACAUGAACAUGUUCAGGACAAUCAGGAAGGUAGAGGACAUGUUCAGGACAAUCAGGAAGGUAGAGGACAUGAGCAUGUUCAGGACAAUCAGGAAGGGAGAGGACAUGUUCAGGACAAUCAGGAAGGUAGAGGCUAGAAACAUUUCAAUCAAACAGCCCAGAAACACAAUAUUACACAUUCAGUGUGAAAGUUAGACAUUGUAUAACAUGUAGAACAUUAAAUAAUAAAUAUAGUGUCAAAGCUUUUUACCCUCUAAACUGGACUUGAUGGGAAUGAAGACAGGAGAUAUGAGGGGGGUGAUACUGAUGGGAGAUAUGGGGGGGGUGAUACUGAUGGGAGAUAUGGGGGGGGGUGAUACUGAUGGGAGAUAUGAGGGGGGGG
rnacentral:lncRNA from 1 species